CCCUAUUAGUGUAAUUAAUAUUUAGUAGUAAGUGUUAAUCAUGAAACUAAAAUUAAUUGGCGGCUUUUUAAAUUUCUUAGAGGAAUUUAUUCUAUAAAGGAUUAGACACCAAAAUCUUACUUUUAUUGGUUAACAGUUUGUAUACCUCUAUUUAAAAACAUUUAGAUAUGUUUUGGUUUUCUAUUUAAAAAUAGUAGUAUUUUAGGUAAAGGUGCAGCUUAUGUAAAAGGUUGAAAUAAAUUAUAUAAAUUAAUAUUUAACAAUAUUUGGAUUGUAAUGUCAAAAUAUAGUAAAAUUUAAAAGUAAAAUCUGUAAAUUUUAUAGAUUUGAAUAGGUAUUUAAUUGUGUACAUAUGCCC
rnacentral:rRNA from 1 species